ensembl:lncRNA
UUCAAUACCUGCCCAGCACCAACCUGCACAUGUCGACAUCGGCAACUGGCCUUUCAACAUAGUGAGUCAUUACUGAAAGAGCUAAAGAACGCUCUGGAAUUGGUGGGGACCAAAACGAGAGAUAAAAGCAGAGCGAAUGUUGAACCUGGAUGGACAUGGACAUGGGGAAAAAAGACGAGGGUUUUAAAGUGUUCGAUCUCGUGACUGCCACGGCGAAGCUGUUGUCCGUGGGUACCAUCCACAGGAUUUACUCUCAACCCGUUUCCUGGUUACUGGUCCAGAAGAAGCCGAGACGUCCCCUCUUUCCUUUCGUCCACUUUCCCCCUCCGGUGAAGCGCGGCCUGCCUCUGCUGAGGCCUCGGACCGCUUUCAGCAGGCCAGGCUCGUCCCGUGCUCCUCGGGGCCUCUGGCCCGGAUCGUGAACGCGCUUUGCUCCGCCCGCCGGUAACAGCCGCUGAGGUAGCUGCACAGACACCUGAGGAAACACCACCCAAGUACAGACGUUAGGUGGGAACGGACUCGAGGGGCACGAGUGUACCAAAGAUCCGCUCUCCAGGGAAGGGAAGAUGUCAGCUGAAAUGUAUUUUUUCCAAUAUUCAGCUUCAACGGUAAACAAAGAGGCCCCUGAGGCCCCGCCUCCUCGCCUACCACCACGAUUGUUUAUUCAAAGUUCACGGAUAUUAAACAUGUCACCUGUUUAUAACCCA